rnacentral:rRNA from 1 species
GAUUCCAUUAUUUGGAUGUUCACCAAGGAUGGAUCGUACUUUGCUUCCUCGGCUUACAAGGCGCAGUUUGAGGGCCUAACUACGUCGGCAAUGGCCCUAUCGGUGUGGAAGGUGUGGGCUCCUCCAUGGUGCAAAUUUUUUGCCUGGCUUGUUCUUCAAGAUAGAAUCUAG